rnacentral:lncRNA from 1 species
GAAAAGGACGACGGACUUUGAAAGAUCUCCGUGUCAUAGUUCUACCAUUUGAAUGUGUUUUCGUCUUAAGCUGCAUUGCUCUAUGGAUCCAUGCUGUCUGUGAGUAUAAUUAACAAAGUAACCUGUCAUAACUAUGAUAUAUAGGUUUUGUGGAUGACAUUAAAUAACUGUUAACUCUUUAUAUUAUAAAAUAUAUUGACACAAUGGCAUACCUAUGAUUUAUAGGUUUUGUGGAUUUCAUAUUAAAUAACUGUAUUAUAAAAUAUAGGCACAGAAGCGUCGGAGGGGUAUGUACCUUUUUUCUCAAAGCAGGUUUAUCUUGAUACCAAUGUUUCUCUCAUUGAACUAGGAAUUCAUUUGUGUUGAAAAUUUCAAAAUAAAUGAAUGGUUGCCUCAUCACAGGCAUGUAUCAUUACCCUCAUGUUUAUUAUUGUUAUGAUUACUUUCCUAGAAUUAAGCAAGAAGUGGCGAUAUUACGGAGAUAUGGUUGUAGACGUUGGUGGAAGUUUUUGAAGGAUGGUGCUAAACCAUCGGAGGCUCUUGAGAUGUUAAGUCAGUCUGCACCUCCACCUGCUGGACCAGACACUCCACAGGUACUAACCAAACUGCUAUGUUCACCAGUGUAUUGGGAAAUGCAUUGGUCAUAUACUGACAAAUACAGUCUUGUGUUGCCUUAUGGAUCUUAUUUACUUUUAUAUGUAAUGGGUUAGAAAGCAUUAGGUUUUGAUUUUAAGAAUUCUUGCAACAGUACUCUACAGCAGGAAAGCUAGGAUUUUUUUUUUUGCAGUUUUCAUUAUUGUUGACUAAUGAUUUCCUCCUGUCAUUUGGUGGUGUGCACGUGUAUUUUUUGUGUUUGUGAUGAUUAUUGAGGAAUAAUUGUUGGGGAUCCAGUCAUGAGAUGGUGUUUAUUUCUUGUUGUCUAAUUAAUUCAUUUAUAUUUUAUUUGUUUGUGUUGUUUAGUACAUCUGUCUAAUUGGUGUUUUGUAUUAAACAGGAGAGUCCACCAGAUCCUCCUCCUGAAGCAGAGAC